rnacentral:rRNA from 1 species
AUUGAACGCUGGCGGCAGGCCUAACACAUGCAAGUCGAGCGAGUGGCGGACGGGUGAGUAAUGUCUGGGGAACUGCCCGAUGGAGGGGGAUAACUACUGGAAACGGUAGCUAAUCCCGCAUACCAUCAGAUGUACCCAGAUGGGAUUAGCUAGUUGGUGGGGUAAAGGCUCACCAAGGCGACGAUCCCUAGCUGGUCUGAGAGGCUGACCAGCCACACUGGGACUGAGACACGGUCCAGACUCCUACGGGAGGCAGCAGUGGGGAAUAUUGCACAAUGGGCGCAAGCCUGAUGCAGCCAUGCCGCGUGUAUGAAGAAGGCCUUCGGGUUGUAAAGUACUUUCAGCGGGGAGGCGUUACCCGCAGAAGAAGCACCGGCUAACUCCGUGCCAGCCGCCGCGGUAAUAC